AAUAGACCACUUCUUCAAAAUUGCCUUCUUACGCCAUCUAGCGUUAAAGCAUAACGUUACUAAGCCAAACUUUGAACGGCUCGCUAAAUACAAUAACGGGUCUAUGCAAGUAAGAACGUGUUUCUUGCGGAGUGAUGACGAAAGUUUAAAUUCAUAAUGUGAUUAUUUGGAUAGUAACGGCCGUUCGACACAAAAAUGGUGAUGUCGUAUUUCCGGAACCCACGUUUGGCUCUCAUUAUGGAAGCUGUGGACG